rnacentral:lncRNA from 1 species
UUGUUUAUUCAUACACUACCAUCAAUAAAAGAGUUUCAUUUGUUCAAUUCCAUUCUUUUAUUAUUCUUGGUUUUUUUUUAGUGUGUGAGAUAUUGUUCCAGUUACGUUCCAUACUCGGAUACGUAACAGAGAUCAACAAAUGGACUGUGGGGUUGUUCGGCCAAUGCAACUCCAUUGGUGGGAUUGUAGGUUGCAGUAGCUAAUGGCAACAGUUUCAACAGCAGAAACCUUAUAAAAUGGGAAAAAAGACAGAAAAAGAUGUCCAAUGAAGAGGGCCGAAAAUUAGACUAAGACAACUUCUAGAAAAAAUUCAGCACAAAUGGACUAUGGGUCCAUCAGCAAGGCACGAAUUUGGAUUAAGCUCUAGAUACCAUAUAGAGAGAGUCAUGUGCAAUGGAAUUCCUUGUGUGUAUUAUACAACACAGAAACACAUAUAUAUAAUACAUAGUCUAGCAUAGCAUUACAUUGAGAUGGGCUCAAGCCCAAAUAUAAAAUACAAUUAACAUGUGGAAUGCAGUAUUCACUCCCCUUCCCCAAACACUUACAGAGGGUGACAUUGUGUUAGGAAACAAGGUAUGAAUCUUAACUCUCUCCCUUUCUCUCUCUCUCAAGUCGUAAGAAUAGCACAAGCAAUUAGAUCAAGAAACGUAUAGUAUUCACAACAAGAAUCAAGAAUACAAGAAUUGUCAGGAGCUUAACCUCCUUCACCAGGUACUUAGACCGGUCUGCACAAAUCAAGUUUCUAACUUCCCAACUGAUACAACAAAGAGGUCCUCAUAUAGACCUCUUUCCCAACCCACUUAACUGAUUAGCAGUUAAGUCCUCUGUUUUCCCUUUCUUCUCUCAUAGACCCUCCAUUCUCGAACGUUACUCCCCCCUGAAAACUGACCUUGUCCCCAAGGUCGAACUCGGGGAAUUGUUCCUGCAUCAACUUGUUGAUAUACAUGGAAAUAACAAAAACAACAAUAUUAGGAAUCACAAACAUAGGAACCAGCCAUGAUGUCAGCUUCGUAAGGAUUAGAAGACUCAUGCGCAAGAUCUCUUCUGGCCAUAAUUUUUUUCCUCUUGAUCAAACCCAAUUUCCAAGUCUCAGACUUUAUUCUGUAAGGUUGCUUUAUAUCAGGAGGUGGUGGUAAGCCUUGCAUCUCUCGAAGUGCACGACAGUGCGCUUGCAACACCUCUUCUAAAUUAACUUUUUGUUGUCAAAUCAUCAUACCACUCACUGUCCACCUGCUUCUCCACUGAGCAUCUUAUCCGAAUCCUUUUACCGUCUAGGUAAUACACGAUGGUCAUCUCUCUCCAGUUAAUAACCACCUCUCCCAACUUAGCCAACCCGGCUAUACCAGAAAUGAUAUCAUGCCGUCCCUAAGUCACCUUCUUUCUCCCAUCCCUUAAGCUUACCUAGAUAUGGCGAUGUCUUCAUCACAGGUAGCUUCAAGUCCUCAGCCAAAUCCUCGCUGACGAAAUUAUGGCUGGCGCCACUAUCAAUGAGCACCACCACUCUUCUUCCUCCAACCCAGCCCACUAGCUUCAUCAUUUUGGGCGGUGUCAUCCGUUUCGCCGAACAUGCAAACAAUUCCAUGGUUUUCGACUCGAGUUCCCCCACUUCGUCAUUCGCAACUUUACAAAUGCAAACAAUUCCAUGGUGCUCAUUGAUAGUGGCUGGCGCCACUAUCAAUGAGCACCACCACUCUUCUUCCUCCAACCCAGCCCACUAGCUUCAUCAUUUUGGGCGGUGUCAUCCGUUCCGCCGAACAUGCAAACAAUUCCAUGGUUUUGGACUCGAGUUCCCCCACUUCGUCAUUCACAACUUUACAAAUAAGCUGAAUCGUGCACUGUACAGUUCUGCUUGCAGCUAUUGCUUCAUGUUUUGUACCAAUUUCAUCAAUUAUUGUUAGAGUGCAAACAAAGUCCCACAUUGAGUGAAAUAAGGACUGGUCAAGGGUUUAUAUACACAUAGAUAUCUCCAAU